UUGGUCAUCCUGUAGAUGUGAGCCAAGAUUUAAUACCUGGCUUGAAAUUCAUGACUCCUGCUUAUGGACAGUGUCCUCCCUUCCUUAUAGCUUUUACUUAUUACUUUUUUUAGUAAAUGUAUUAUAGUGGAAGGAAUUACCAUGACAGCUGAGGAUAAAAGUGUCCUUGACAUGAGCUGUGAAAACCUGGGAAGCAGCCCACCUUUCUUACCUCUUCUCUCAUUUGGCUCCUACUGA
rnacentral:lncRNA from 1 species